GAGGCAGCAGUGGGGAAUAUUGCACAAUGGGCGAAAGCCUGAUGCAGCGACGCCGCGUGAGGGAUGACGGCCUUCGGGUUGUAAACCUCUUUCAGUAGGGAAGAAGCGAAAGUGACGGUACCUGCAGAA
rnacentral:rRNA from 1 species